GGCGAACGGGUGAGUAACACGUGGGUGAUCUGCCCUGCACUUCGGGAUAAGCCUGGGAAGCUGGGUCUAAUACCGGAUAGGAGCCAUUUUUAGUGUGAUGGUUGGAAAGUUCUUUCGGUGUAGGAUGAGCUCGCGGCCUAUCAGCUUGUUGGUGGGGUAAUGGCCUACCAGGGCGGCGACGGGUAGCCGGCCUGAGAGGGUGGACGGCCACAUUGGGACUGAGAUACGGCCCAG
rnacentral:rRNA from 1 species